AACGAACGCUGGCGGCGUGCCUAACACAUGCAAGUCGAACGAGAAAGUGGGCUUCGGCCCGCGAGUAAAGUGGCAGACGGGUGAGUAACACGUGGGUAACCUGCCCGGAGGUGGGGAAUAACCCUCCGAAAGGAGAGCUAAUACCGCAUAACAUCUUUGGGGCCUUGGCCUCGGAGAUCAAAGCUAGCCUCUGCCUGCAAGCUAGCGCCACCGGAGGGACCCGCGGCCCAUUAGCAGUUGGUGAGGUAACGGCUCACCAAGGCGACGAUGGGUAGCCGGCCUGAGAGGGUGAUCGGCCACACUGGAACUGGGACACGGUCCAGACUCCUACGGGAGGCAGCAGUGAGGAAUCUUGCGCAAUGGGCGAAAGCCUGACGCAGCGACGCCGCGUGGAGGACGAAGGUCUUCGGAUCGUAAACUCCUGUCAAGUGGGACGAAUGCCGUUGAGUUAAUAGCCUCGACGGUUGACGGUACCGCUGGAGGAAG
rnacentral:rRNA from 1 species